rnacentral:rRNA from 1 species
GCGAGCGUUAAUCGGAAUUACUGGGCGUAAAGCGCGCGUAGGSGGUUUGUUAAGUCAGCUGUGAAAGCCCCGGGCUCAACCUGGGAACUGCAGUYSAUACUGGCCGACUAGAGUACGAGAGAGGGAGGUAGAAUUCCAUGUGUAGCGGUGAAAUGCGUAGAUAUAUGGAGGAAUACCAGUGGCGAAGGCGGCCUCCUGGCUCGAUACUGACGCUGAGGUGCGAAAGCGUGGGGAKCAAACAGGAUUAGAUACCCUGGUAGUCCACGCCGUAAACGAUGUCUACUAGCCGUUGGGGGACUUGAUUUCUUAGUGGCGCACUAACGCAAUAAGUAGACCGCCUGGGGAGUACGGCCGCAAGGUUAAAACUCAAAUGAAUU